GUACAGAGGUCCCGAGCGUUAGGCGGAAUCACUGGGCUUAAAGCGUGUGUAGGCGGACUUCUAAGUACCUUGUGAAAUCCCACGGCUUAACCGUGGAACUGCUUGGUAUACUGGUUGUCUUGGGCCAUCUAGGGGCUACUGGAACAAACGGUGGAGCGGUGAAAUGCGUAGAUAUCGUUUGGAACGCCAAUGGUGAAAACAAGUAGCUGGGGAUGUGCCGACGCUGAGACACGAAAGCCAGGGGAGCGAACGGG
rnacentral:rRNA from 1 species